rnacentral:rRNA from 1 species
UACGUAGGGUGCAAGCGUUAUCCGGAAUUAUUGGGCGUAAAGAGCUCGUAGGCGGUUUGUCGCGUCUGCUGUGAAAACUGGAGGCUCAACCUCCAGCCUGCAGUGGGUACGGGCAGACUAGAGUGCGGUAGGGGAGAUUGGAAUUCCCGGUGUAGCGGUGGAAUGCGCAGAUAUCAGGAGGAACACCGGUGGCGAAGGCGGGUCUCUGGGCAGUAACUGAGGCUGAGGAGCGAAAGCGUGGGGAGCGAACAGG